GAUGAAGAACGUAGCGAAAUGCGAUAAGUAAUGUGAAUUGCAGAAUUCAGUGAAUCAUCGAAUCUUUGAACGCAUCUUGCGCUCCUUGGUAUUCUGAGGAGCAUGCCUGUUUGAGUGUCAUUAAAUUCUCAACUACACUGACUUUGAAUUGGUGUGGCUUGGAUUUGGGGGGAAAAUUGUUGUGGGCUUUUUGUAUAGUCUGCUCCCCUGAAAUUGAUUAGCGGUACCUUUGUGGAACUGUCUACAGGUGUGAUAAUUAUCUACAUCUUAGACAUCUGCUGGAAUGCUGCUUUCUAAACCUUACUUGUAUUGACAAUAUUGACCUCAAAUCAGGUAGGACUACCCGCUGAACUUAAGCAUAUCAAUAAGCGGAGGA
rnacentral:misc_RNA from 1 species